rnacentral:rRNA from 1 species
GUACGGGAGGCAGCAGUAGGGAAUCUUCCGCAAUGGACGAAAGUCUGACGGAGCAACGCCGCGUGAGUGAUGAAGGCUUUCGGGUCGUAAAACUCUGUUGUUAGGGAAGAACAAGUGCUAGUUGAAUAAGCUGGCACCUUGACGGUACCUAACCAGAAAGCCACGGCUAACUACGUGCCAGCAGCCGCGGUAAUACGUAGGUGGCAAGCGUUAUCCGGAAUUAUUGGGCGUAAAGCGCGCGCAGGUGGUUUCUUAAGUCUGAUGUGAAAGCCCACGGCUCAACCGUGGAGGGUCAUUGGAAACUGGGAGACUUGAGUGCAGAAGAGGAAAGUGGAAUUCCAUGUGUAGCGGUGAAAUGCGUAGAGAUAUGGAGGAACACCAGUGGCGAAGGCGACUUUCUGGUCUGUAACUGACACUGAGGCGCGAAAGCGUGGGGAGCAAACAGGAUUAGAUACCCCGGUAGU